rnacentral:misc_RNA from 1 species
AAGUCGUAACAAGGUUUCCGUAGGUGAACCUGCGGAAGGAUCAUUACCUUUCAAUGCAGAAGAGUUGAGAUGGUUGAGUAUCUCGCCUCUCAAUUCUCGCUGUAUUUUACCCUUGUUUUUCUCAUACUAUUAUUUCCUCGGCAGGCGAGCCUGCCGGGUGAAACAACUUCAAACCUGUUUAAUUUUCAAUCAGCGUCUGAACAAAUUAAUAAUUACAACUUUCAACAACGGAUCUCUUGGUUCUG